rnacentral:rRNA from 1 species
GACGAACGCUGGCGGCGUGCUUAACACAUGCAAGUCGAACGGAAAGGCCCUGCUUUUGUGGGGUGCUCGAGUGGCGAACGGGUGAGUAACACGUGAGUAACCUGCCCUUGACUUUGGGAUAACUUCAGGAAACUGGGGCUAAUACCGGAUAGGAGCUCCUGCUGCAUGGUGGGGGUUGGAAAGUUUCGGCGGUUGGGGAUGGACUCGCGGCUUAUCAGCUUGUUGGUGGGGUAGUGGCUUACCAAGGCUUUGACGGGUAGCCGGCCUGAGAGGGUGACCGGCCGCAUUGAGACUGAGAUACGGCCCAGACUCCUACGGGAGGCAGCAGUGGGGAAUAUUGCUCAAUGGGCGGAAGCCUGAUGCAGCAACGCCGCGUGCGGGAUGACGGCCUUCGGGUUGUAAACCGCUUUCGCCUGUGACGAAGCGUGAGUGACGGUAAUGGGUAAAGAAGCACCGGCUAACUACGUG